GACGAACGCUGGCGGCGUGCUUAACACAUGCAAGUCGAACGAAGAGCGAUGGAAGCUUGCUUCUAUCAAUCUUAGUGGCGAACGGGUGAGUAACGCGUAAUCAACCUGCCCUUCAGAGGGGGACAACAGUUGGAAACGACUGCUAAUACCGCAUACGAUCUAAUCUCGGCAUCGAGGAUAGAUGAAAGGUGGCCUCUACAUGUAAGCUAUCACUGAAGGAGGGGAUUGCGUCUGAUUAGCUAGUUGGAGGGGUAACGGCCCACCAAGGCGAUGAUCAGUAGCCGGUCUGAGAGGAUGAACGGCCACAUUGGGACUGAGACACGGCCCAGACUCCUACGGGAGGCAGCAGUGGGGAAUCUUCCGCAAUGGACGAAAGUCUGACGGAGCAACGCCGCGUGAGCGAUGACGGCCUUCGGGUUGUAAAGCUCUGUUAAUCGGGACGAAAGGCCUUCUUGCGAAUAGUGAGAAGGAUUGACGGUACCGGAAUAGAAAGCCACGGCUAACUACGUGCCAGCAGCCGCGGUAAUACGUAGGUGGCAAGCGUUGUCCGGAAUUAUUGGGCGUAAAGCGCGCGCAGGCGGAUA
rnacentral:rRNA from 1 species